GACGAACGCUGGCGGUGUGCUUAACACAUGCAAGUGGUGCGACGAACCAGAGCUUGCUCUGGGGCAAAGCCGCGAACGGGUGAGUAACACGUGGGUAAUCUACCCCGAUGACCGGGACAACCCGAGGAAACUCGGGCUAAUACCGGAUGUGGUACGGAGACAUAAGUCUCUUUACUAAAGGUAGCUUCGGCUUCCGCAUUGGGAGGGGCCCGCGGCCCAUUAGCUAGUUGGUGGGGUCAAGGCCUACCAAGGCAACGAUGGGUAGCUGGUCUGAGAGGACGAUCAGCCACACUGGGACUGAGACACGGCCCAGACUCCUACGGGAGGCAGCAGUGGGGAAUUUUGGACAAUGGGCGCAAGCCUGAUCCAGCCAUGCCGCGUGCGGGAAGAAGGCCUCGGUUGUAACCGACUUUGUCAGGAGAA
rnacentral:rRNA from 1 species